AACCUUAAACCCUAAACCAUAGAUCCCAAACUUUAAAAUCUAAAUCCUACUUUAGGCUUCCGGAAUCCAGUUGCGGUUCUAGUUCUUAUGCUCAAUGAUCCACAAAGCAUCUAGUCAUAUUUGACUACAAAUCCGGUAGCAAAGCUUCUUCUUUAUUCCCAAAGCUUUGAUGGUGAAGACAAAAUUCUUAUGAGUUUUUGGUGUUUUGAAUCGUUUAACAAGGAAGCACUACUUUACUUUUCGAGAUAUAGUUGAGGUUCUAGUUUUCUAUUCAAUCAUACACAUGAAAUGUAGUCAUAUUUCACUCCAAAAUGCUAACCCAGAUUCUACUUGCUUCUUAAAAUAUUAUAG
rnacentral:sRNA from 1 species